AUUUGCUUUGACAUCGCUGAGAGAAUUACCUUACCUGACAAAGCGACGGCAAAAUGACAAAACUAGAAAUUAGCCUUUUACAACUACAUAUGGACAAUUUACAAAACUGCUCAAAUUAACAAAAUAAUGUUGUUAAUUCAAUAUUAUAAGCAUUCUAAUAAUUUUGAAAACAUUACACACUUUAGGUUUAAAAAAAAAUCACCAAUGCUUACUUAGGUCGGUACACACCUUGUGGCCUGUCAGAGAGGUUUACCUGCACCAAUUGGCCACAAAUGACAUCGCUGACCUGUUCAGGUGAAGGCGAAACAAAAAAAAAUAACAAGGCUAUGAGUUAAGGGGCUGAAGAUUAUAAAAUAAUUGAAAAGCUUCCCAUGUAAAUAAACCUGCUGGAACUAAAGGCUUAUAUUUAUUUAUAAAAAACACCAUCAUGGAGUUCCACAGCAAAAACGGUGCCACACUUAACAUCUUGACAAAAAAGUGGUUAAAAACAAAUGAAAAAUUAUAA